rnacentral:rRNA from 1 species
UACAGAGGUCUCAAGCGUUGUUCGGAUUCAUUGGGCGUAAAGGGUGCGUAGGCGGCGCGGUAAGUCGGGUGUGAAAUCUCGGGGGCUUAACUCCGAAACUGCAUUCGAUACUGCCGGACUAGAGUUCGGAAGAGGCGAGUGGAAUUCCCGGUGUAGCGGUGAAAUGACGCAGAUAUCGGGAGGAACACCAAUGGCGAAGGCAGCUCGCUGGGACGUUACUGACGCUGAGACGCGAAAGCGUGGGGAGCAAACAGG